GUAGGUGAACCUGCGGAAGGAUCAUUACCGUGAUGCAGUCGUCGACACUAGUCUUCGAUCAACGCACACACGCACAUUUCGUACGGACAGCGCACAAGGCGAGCCCGAAAGGCUGGCCGCGGCGCGACGCCGCGUGACGUUACUGUUGCACUCUUGCAGCACGCCGCACGGCGCCGUCGCCAAAACGACACGGUUGUCGCGCGUUUCGGGGUACCUGUCCGGCGCCGUCUCUGCGCCGGGUGAGCGGCGGACGGUGUCGUCGUUUCGCGUCGUCUCUGCGCGAUCCGACGUUCGCCGACCGCACGGCGACGGUUCAAAGAACUAACCGGUUGCUGCUCGGCAGGCAGUCGGUCCGUCGCCCCGUACGCGUAUGUUUUUUCCGUCUUAUUUUCACUACAGUCGCUAUACGAAUCGUAGUCGUCCGUCGUCGUCGGCGUUCGCACGUCGGCGGCGGCCACGACUACCGAGUUCUGUGACAGACAAACAUCAUAUAACUCUAAGCGGUGGAUCACUCGGCUCGUGUGUCGAUGAAGAGCGCAGCCAGCUGCGUGAAGUAAUGUGAAUUGCAGGACACAUUGAACAUCGAUAUCUUGAACGCACAUUGCGGCCUCGGGCAUUCUCGAGGCCACGCCUGUCUCAGGGUCGGUUGAAAGUAUCUAUCGCGAGUCGUCUCUUGCUCGCGCAGUGGACCGUCGCGGCGGCGGCGCAACAAUGUUCGGUCGUCUCUUGCCGGUCGUUGUAGCCUGUUGUGGCGUCGUCCGAAAUUCAGACGGUUCGCGUCGUGGAAACGACGCGAUACCGCACGUCUCGAUACCGCUUCGUCGAGGGAUCAGCGGGACGGUUGCUCGGAUGCACUAGUUCUAAGAACCGUCGUCGCUGCUCUCGUCAUCGUCGUCGUCGGUCUGACGCGCAUAUCUCUACUAACGAUUUUCGACCUGAGAUCAGACGAGAUCACCCGCUGAAUUU
rnacentral:rRNA from 1 species